CCAGAGGAAAAACUGGUGAAAAACCAAGGGAGGAUUAGAAAAAGAAAAAAGGCUAAAACAGGCCAGAGAGAUUGCUGGCCUUCCUUCAGAACUCCAGCUUAGGGGAUUCCAAUUUCCCCUUUCCCCAGAGCACAGGCUCAACACACCAAACGCACCAGACGAAGAAAAAACUAGAGAAAAGGACGAGGGCAUAAUACAGAGACACAGCAGAGGAAACGAAGCAGACACAGGGGGAAGAAAACGAACACCAAAGGAAGAAAACAGAGGACUAAACCCAGCUUUGGUUUAGUCCCAGAAUUCAAGCAUAACACAGAAUAGAGACAGAGCAGAGGGAUCCAACACAGAAAGAAAGCAAAAACAAAAGAACGUAGAAGAAGGAGCAGAGGAGAG
rnacentral:lncRNA from 1 species